rnacentral:rRNA from 1 species
GGGUUGUGAGGUUAAGCGACCAAGCGUACACGGUGGAUGCCCUGGCAGUCAGAGGCGAUGAAGGACGUGCUAAUCUGCGAAAAGCGCCGGUAAGGUGAUAUGAACCGUUAUAACCGGCGAUGUCCGAAUGGGGAAACCCAGUGUGACUCGUCACACUAUCAUUAACUGAAUCCAUAGGUUAAUGAGGCGAACCGGGGGAACUGAAACAUCUAAGUACCCCGAGGAAAAGAAAUCAACCGAGAUUCCCCCAGUAGCGGCGAGCGAACGGGGAGGAGCCCAGAGCCUGAAUCAGCAUGUGUGUUAGUGGAAGCGUCUGGAAAGGCGCGCGAUACAGGGUGACAGCCCCGUACACAAAAGCGCAUGUGCUGUGAGCUCGAUGAGUAGGGCGGGACACGUGGUAUCCUGUCUGAAUAUGGGGGGACCAUCCUCCAAGGCUAAAUACUCCUGACUGACCGAUAGUGAACCAGUACCGUGAGGGAAAGGCGAAAAGAACCCCGGCGAGGGGAGUGAAACAGAACCUGAAACCGUGUACGUACAAGCAGUGGGAGCAUGAGUUUACUCAUGUGACUGCGUACCUUUUGUAUAAUGGGUCAGCGACUUAUAUUCUGUAGCAAGGUUAACCGUAUAGGGGAGCCGGAGGGAAACCGAGUCUUAACCGGGCGUUAAGUUGCAGGGUAUAGACCCGAAACCCGGUGAUCUAGCCAUGGGCAGGUUGAAGGUUGGGUAACACUAACUG